rnacentral:rRNA from 1 species
UUGAACGCUGGCGGCAGGCCUAACACAUGCAAGUCGAGCGGAUGAAGGGAGCUUGCUCCUGGAUUCAGCGGCGGACGGGUGAGUAAUGCCUAGGAAUCUGCCUGGUAGUGGGGGAUAACGUCCGGAAACGGGCGCUAAUACCGCAUACGUCCUGAGGGAGAAAGUGGGGGAUCUUCGGACCUCACGCUAUCAGAUGAGCCUAGGUCGGAUUAGCUAGUUGGUGGGGUAAAGGCCUACCAAGGCGACGAUCCGUAACUGGUCUGAGAGGAUGAUCAGUUACACUGGAACUGAGACACGGUCCAGACUCCUACGGGAGGCAGCAGUGGGGAAUAUUGGACAAUGGGCGAAAGCCUGAUCCAGCCAUGCCGCGUGUGUGAAGAAGGUCUUCGGAUUGUAAAGCACUUUAAGUUGGGAGGAAGGGCAGUAAGUUAAUACCUUGCUGUUUUGACGUUACCAACAGAAUAAGCACCGGCUAACUUCGUG